rnacentral:rRNA from 1 species
UACAGAGGGUGCGAGCGUUAAUCGGAAUUACUGGGCGUAAAGCGUGCGCAGGCGGUUAUGCAAGACAGAUGUGAAAUCCCCGGGCUUAACCUGGGAACUGCAUUUGUGACUGCAUAGCUGGAGUACGGCAGAGGGGGAUGGAAUUCCGCGUGUAGCAGUGAAAUGCGUAGAUAUGCGGAGGAACACCGAUGGCGAAGGCAGUCCCCUGGGCCUGUACUGACGCUCAUGCACGAAAGCGUGGGGAGCAAACAGG